rnacentral:lncRNA from 1 species
AAAUGGGUGGCCCUCCCUCAGCAGGGUCUGGAGGUGUGGGGUCCUGGAGGAGAAAGAGAAGGCACCUUACUCCUAGUAGAGACACCAGAAGGCUGGUGGGCAGUGUAACCAGGACCACCAGGUCAGCCCACCCACGUAGGAAAAUCCCCUAUCAGGCUGUGUGAGUGAUCCCAGCUUUGCCUAACUCCACAAUCCUAAAAAGUCACCUAUAAACAGAAUCUUUGUCAGUCAGAUUAUUUUCCCCUCUACCACCUUCUGUGUCCCAGAUGCAGUUUUUGUGGCUGUUACCAAUUUCAUCAUACAAGGCCCAGGGAGAGUAUAGUAGGGCAAGCGCAUUGCUCUAACAAAUAGACCCCAAAUGUAUAAUAACUCAAAGAAAAGGGAAGUUUACUUUUUGCUCGUUAAUAGUUCAGUGAGCCUAGCAGAAAAGGGAGGGGAAUGGCCGGGCGCCGUAGCUAAAGCCUGUAAUCCCAGCACUUUGGGAGGCCGAGGCAGGUGGAUCAUGAAGUCAGGAAAUCGAGACCAUCCUGGCUAACACGGUGAAACCUCGUCUCUACUAAAAAUACAAAAAAUUAGCUGGACAUGGUGGCAGGCCCCUAUAGUCCGGGCUACUCGGGAGGCUGAGGCAGGAGAAUGGCGUGAACCCGGGAGGCGGGGCUUGCAGUGAGCCGAGAUCGCGCCACUGCACUCCAGCCCCGGUGAAAAAAACAAGAUUGUCUCCAGUGGCCCUUCCUCACUUGGGUACCACUGAGUCUCUGAUAAAUGACUUAGUUAUCAGAUUUGGUUUCUAAAUUUGGUGGAUGUGGAGACAGAGCUGUGAUCAUCUUUGGUGCCCUAUUAAUUCCAGACUCUUUAAGUAGAUAGCAUAUGAGAGCAGAGUUCACCUUUUCCACCCAAAGAAUGUUACACCUCUCCAGGAUGGUGCCGCAGGAACCUCCACUCUGUCUAAAUACUGAGACAUCCUCUGGCUGAGCCUGAUCAGAAUAUGAAAUUGAGGCAGGAAAAAAGUUUGGACCUGAAAUUUUCUUUUUAUCUUGAAAUGGCAAGUGAAUUUAGUCUUUGAGCUUUCAUUUCCUACUGGGAAUUUCAUAAUGGUACAUUGUUUCUAUUACACUGUAGGGCAUCUUAUUGUUGGCAUUUUAUUAUUGGGGUAUCUUAAUUUGUCAUUUAAUCUCCCUUUGGAACAUGGGAUGAGCUCUCUCAGACCAUGUUGUUCCUGGUCCAAGCCGAGGGUCAGGCUGCUGAUUCUCGCGGCCCAAUAACAAGAUGCAGUUGAACUGGGAAGGAAGGAAGUUUAUUUUUGUAACCGGGUACAGGGAGAAGGCCUGGAAUAUAUCACCAGACUAACUCAAAAUUACAAAGCUUUCCAGGGUUUAUAUACCUUCUAAGCCAUAUGUCUACAUGUAAGUGUGCAUUCAUCUAAAGACGUAAGUGAUUAACUUCUUCUAAUCCAUAACUAAGGUGUGAAGACCUUCUUCUGGAGCCUCAGUAAAUGUAUUGAAUCUAGAUGGGUCCAAGUGCUGGGGUGAUUACCCUUAUCACAUCUCCUGCUAAAUCACGGAGGUUUGAGGAGUUCAUUUAGACCUCCAAUAAAACUUGUGUCUUCAGACCCCCAGUAAAAACUUUUCUUUUCUUUUUUUUUUUUUUUGAGAUGGAGUCUCACUCUGUUGCCCAGGCUGAAGUGCAGUGGUGUGAUCCCAGGUCACUGCAACCUCCGCUUUCUGGGUUCAAGCG